rnacentral:rRNA from 1 species
AGUCUUUUWAUUGAUGACUUGUAUGAAGGAUUGGAUGAAAUAUAAACUGUCUCUUAAUUAUAUUUAGAAUUUAAUUUUUUAAUUAAAAAGUUAAAAUGAAUUAAAAAGACGAGAAGACCCUAUAGAGUUUUAUAAUUAAAUUAAUUGAGAUUUUUUGUAAGAUUAAAAUUAAAAUUAAUUUAUUUAUUUUGUUGGGGUGACAGAAAAAUAUGGAGAACUUUUUUUAUAAUAUUACAUAAAUAAGUGGUUAAAUGAUCCAAUAUUAUUGAUUAUAAGAAAAAAUUACCUUAGGGAUAACAGCGUAAUUUUUUUUUUUAGUUCAUAUAAAAAAAAAAGUUUGCGACCUCGAUGUUGGAUUAAGAUAAAAUUUAAANGC